GUUGAGCCCAUUCUGUGUAUCUUUACUUGUUGCUUCCCCCUGGGCCCGCCCCGGGGGGGAGGGAACCAUAAACUCUGUUAUCCUUGGAAUCGGUCUGAAAACUGUUUUUCGUUAAACGUUAAAAACUUUCAACAACGGAUCUCUUGGUUCUCCCAUCGAUGAAGAACGCAGCGAAAUGCGAUAAGUAGUGUGAAUUGCAAAUUCAGUGAAUCAUCGAAUCUUUGAACGCACAUUGCGCCCCACGGUAUUCCGCGGGGCAUGCCUGUUCAGCGUCAUCAACACCGCUCAGGCCGGGGUUCCUUCAAGAAAGAAACCAUCGGCUUGGUCUUGGGCCGGAGGGAACAGACACCCUCCGCCUGCAAUGCAGUGGCAAACAUCCGGCGUGGCAAGAGCGUGAUAAACGAGUCAAAAUCGCGAUUGUCACCGGAACGUUUGGCCGUAACCCCCACAUUUGUAUUUUUCCAGUUUGACCUCGGAUCAGGUAGGGAUACCCGCUGAACUUAAGCAUAUCAAUAAGCGGAGGAAGAGAAACCAACAGGGAUUGCCCCAGUAACGGCGA
rnacentral:rRNA from 1 species